UCAUCUGCAGUACCAUCAGCAAUGCUGAUAAAACUGAAUUUUUUUAAAAAAAAAGAGUAUUUCCAGCCUUCCAACCAAAUAUUAGAGACUUUUACAAAAGCACUCUCACAAAAUAAUGCUUUUAUAAUCAAUUUAAAAGUCUUUCAAAUCGUUAAUCAUUUUCUAAAGGCGAAGAAGAAUCUUCAUACUAUUUAAUAAAGUUAUUUUAAUAAAACGCAAUACAAAUUGUUGUAAAUUAGCAUUUGAAUAAUUU